AGUGAACGCUGGCGGUAGGCCUAACACAUGCAAGUCGAACGGCAGCACCGUAAGUGCUUGCUCUGAAGGGUUGCGAGUGGCGGACGGGAGAGGAGUACAUCGUAAUCUACUUUUUCGUGGGGGAUAACGUAGGGAAACUUACUCUAAUACAGCAUACGACCUGCGGGUGAAAGCAGGGGAUCUUCGGACCUUGCGCGAUUGAACGAGCGGCUGUUGGAUUAGCUAGUUGGCGGGGUAAAGGCCCACCAAGGCGACGAUCCGUGGCUGGUCUGAGAGGAUGAUAGGCCGCCCUGGAGCUGAGACACCGUCCAGACUCCUACGAGAGGCAGCAGUCGGCAAUGUGGGGCAGCGGGCGCGAGCCUGAUCCAGCCAUAGCGCGUGGGUGGAGAAGACCUUCGGGUUGUGAAGCCCUCUUGUUGGGAAAGAAAAUCAUCAGGCUAAUACCCAGCUGUUGUGACGGUACCCAAAGAAUAAGCACCGGCUAACUUCGUG
rnacentral:rRNA from 1 species